rnacentral:rRNA from 1 species
GACGAACGUUGGCGGUGCGCUUAAUGCAUGCAAGUCGAACGAGAACUGGUUCAUUCGUAAGAAUGUUCCAGGGACAGUGGCGAACGGGUGCGUAACACGUGAGAAACCUGCCCUGGAGAUCGGGAUAGCCCGAGGAAACUCGGAUUAAUACCGAAUGCCUUCACCGAGUCGCAUGGCUCUAUGAAGAAAUGGUCCGCCGCUCCAGGAUGGUCUCGCGGCCUAUCAGCUUGUUGGUGAGGUAACGGCUCACCAAGGCAACGACGGGUAGCUGGUCUGAGAGGACGAUCAGCCACACUGGGACUGAGACACGGCCCAGACUCCUACGGGAGGCAGCAGCAGGGAAUAUUGCACAAUGGGCGCAAGCCUGAUGCAGCGACGCCGCGUGCGGGAUGAAGGCCUUCGGGUUGUAAACCGCUUUCAGGAGGGACGAAAAUGACGGUACCUCCAGAAGAAGGCCCGGCCAACUACGUG